rnacentral:rRNA from 1 species
GAUGAACGCUAGCGGCAGGCUUAACACAUGCAAGUCGAGGGGCAGCACGGGUAGCAAUAUCUGGUGGCGACCGGCGCAAGGGUGCGUAACGCGUGAGCAACAUGCCCGUAUCAGGGGAAUAAUCCAGGGAAACUUGGUCUAAUACCCCAUAGUAAAUAUUAAAGGCAUCUUUAAUAUUUUAAAGCUUUGGUGGAUACGGAUUGGCUCGCGUGACAUUAGCUGGAUGGUAAGGUAACGGCUUACCAUGGCUACGAUGUCUAGGGGUUCUGAGAGGAAGAUCCCCCACACUGGAACUGAGACACGGUCCAGACUCCUACGGGAGGCAGCAGUGAGGAAUAUUGGACAAUGGAUGGAAAUCUGAUCCAGCCAUGCCGCGUGCAGGAAGACGGCCCUAUGGGUUGUAAACUGCUUUUAUAUGGGAGCAAUAAGGCCUACGUGUAGGUUGAUGAGAGUACCAUAUGAAUAAGCACCGGCUAACUCCGUGCCAGCCGCCGCCGUAACAC